rnacentral:rRNA from 1 species
UACAGAGGUCCCAAGCGUUGUUCGGAUUCAUUGGGCGUAAAGGGCGCGUAGGCGGCUUUGCAAGUGACGGGUGAAAGCCCUCGGCUUAACCGAGGAACUGCCUGUCAGACUGUAAGGCUUGAGACCGGGAGAGGUGAGUGGAAUUCCCAGUGUAGCGGUGAAAUGCGUAGAUAUUGGGAGGAACACCAGUGGCGAAGGCGGCUCACUGGACCGGAACUGACGCUGAGGCGCGAAAGCGUGGGGAGCAAACAGG